rnacentral:lncRNA from 1 species
ACAAAAUAGUAAACGGGCAAGGGCACGACCUUCCCACGAUAAUCCCUUAACCAAAUUUUCAAGUAGCUAUCAACAUGAAAUUGUAAUUUCUUACCAACCCAUUCCACUAUAGGCUUUAGGCUUAGCUUUUUUUCUAACCCAAUAUCCUUCAAACCAUUUGCUGUUCUUAAAAUUAUUUAAAACUGAUGAUUUGUCUUUUUAAGAAACAUUUUAUGCAGGCAUGGAAUUUGUUUGAUUUUCAAUUUUGAAUUUGUUAGACGGUCAAGUGAGAUGGGUGAAAUGGAAGCAAUUUUCUCUCACCAGAAUGUCACUAGCAUCACUGACGUCAAGGAGGCUAUCAGCACGAAUCUUGGAGCAGAGCUCGUAAAUUUGAAAAUUUCCAAUAGAAGCGCAUCGCAUUACAGGAAUAGGAAGUUAUCAAUGCUGUGUCACGUCCAGAAAAUCUUGGUCAUGUUCAUUCUUCAUCACGUCACUUUUGUGACGUUGACUUUUCGCUCCUUUUUUCCUUUGGGAAUGUCAUUUUUUCCUCUAUGGGCGGGACAAUGGUUUUGGAUGUCGGUUGCCGAGAGAAUCAGCAACAACUUGGAAACGGCCAGCAUUUUCUCGGUGGCAAAGUUUUCAAGCGUGGGGCUGUGCUGUGUGGAAGACUGCGGCAAAGUCAGGCAGUGAUACCCAUGAGCAGCACAAUUCCAGCUUGAUCAAUGUACUCGCUAUUUAUUGACGUGAGUUAGACUCCCUCGUUAUGCGUUGGCCCCAAAUUGAGUUGGAUUGUGUGGUAACUUUGCUUCUCCCGACUUGCUAAUUUUACUCUACUUUUUUCUCUCUUUCUGUGUGUGAGUACUCUUAUGUGUUUUGUAUGUUGGUUGCUUGUGUGACGUGAUGGAUAUGGACGGCUCUCUAUUUCGCCCAUCAUGCUCGCUUUAGAUUGGGCUGGAUUACAUGAAUGUACCAUUGCUAUACCACCCAGUUUUUCUUCCAGUCGUCAUGUUGCUGUCCCCCUUUUUCAUCCGACGAUUGUCUUUUGACUUAAAUGAGAGCUUUUUUUGAUAGUUUCUCCUAAACUGGGACCUAUCUCUUAAAAAUGGCUCUUACAGUCCUACACACUUUAAGGAGUGGCUGUUGUCAUUUUUUUUUCUUUUCCCCUUCAAUUUUAAAUCUCCAUAUUAACAAAGAUAUGAAACGGAGAAGGGACUGAUGUUUUUUUUUAAAUUUCUUGGAGAGAAGGACACUUGGCUAGCUGAGAAAACAGACUUACAGUUUUUUUCAUUAUCAGUAAUAUAAUUCAAAUGUUUUAACUAAUUCUUCAUUUUUAAGGCCCAACUCUCCAGGAAAAAGAAAAUGGAUGUGUUUUGAAAGAGAAACUAGAUAUGACGAAGGAAAAGAAACUUGGCAAGCUGAAAAAAGAGACUUGCUGGUCCUUCUUUGACAAGAAAAAGAUAAUGGACGAGUUAUACGGAACAUUUUUGCCGAUUUAAAGGGCAAAUUUCGGGUGUUUUUCAGGAUUCACCAAUCGAACCCCACUGAAAAAAUUGUGAAACCUUAUUUAAACGUCUUGAAUUACCACCAAACCAUUGAAGAAUCUUCAGAGCCACCAAUACGGAAAUUUAAAUACGUCCGAAAACAUCACAGGAACAGCUAUUUUCUGAGGUAUUCUCAUUAAGAACCAGCUCCAACGUGCCAGGAAAGCAUGAAUUUCCGCUGCCACACAGGCCGAUGAUGAAUACUCUUCAAGGAGUCACUUCAUCGUGGCAACUUUAAAAAAAAUGAAAGAGAAUGCCAACGAAAUCCUUGAAGGAACUUUUUAUCUGAUUGAUUUUGCGGGAUCUGAAUCAUAUGAUUCUAAAAGCGCUCAUCAAAGGAAAGGAGAAACGUCCCCCAUAAACACUUCUCUUUCUGAACUCACCUCGGUUUUUCGAGCUUUCUCCGAAAAAAGUUAUACUUUUCGAAAUUCUAUUUUGAUUUGUUUCCCAGAACUUUUUGAUCAGCAGCAUAAAAAGUUCUAAUGAUGUUGAAUGUGGCCCCUAUUGAUAGCUGUUCUUGAGAGACAUAAAGAUCAUUAGAAUUCUGCAAAACAGCUAACUGUUGCUUGAUUGGUUCUGCUCGAUUGUGAUCCAGGAUGUCACAUGGUUCAUCAAUUCCCCAGCUAAAACAAAUACCCGGACUCCCCACCAAAAAAACCUCGGUGCUCCCGAAAAAAGCAGUCCUUUGCCUAUGCCUUUGACAUAGAGGAUAAAAUCCACCAUUUCCUGUGUAGAAGAGUUCCAUUUUGAUCCAGUUUUUCUCCACCGAGUAUUUAUUCACAAAUACAUGUCAAAAUUAAUUGUUUUAUCUUUCUUAUUAGGCGGGAACGCUGGAUCUGAAUCCGCAGGAUAGAUUCCCCACAGCUUGGAGUUUUUUUUCUCAGUUUCAAUCCCUUAAAUCAAAACAAUGGUAAUUCAAAUUAGGGGUCUCUUUUUGGAAAAUGUACAAUAAUAAGGUAUAGAUCUACUGAACUUCACUGCUGGUGCCUUAAAAAUAAGGGAAAAGAUGGCCCAAAAUUACGUUCCUAGAAGGUAUGAAUGGUACUAAUGUUCCCCAUAUACGACGUCGGAUUUGGUACAACCUUUUGGCGUCACCAAAUAUUUUUCCGUGAGAAAUCCAAUUGUGUAGGUCCAUUGCCGUCCCUAAAACGACUUUAUUUGGAUCACUCUUUUAUAUCCAUAUUCCGUUGUAAUUAGACCUUAUUCGUACUAGUAGGACACCCAAUUUCUUCUGCAUCAGUAAAAAAAUCAUUCAGGCUUGGAAAUGUUAUUUACCUCAAUAAACUAAUUUCUUCUCUUAUUGAAAAAACGAUGGUUGCUCGGUCAAGUAACUGGCCGAGGUCGAUCGAAGAGUUUCAUUUUGGUCUAAAGUUUUGUCCAGGAUAUAUCAAUUCGCAUAGCUUUCAAAUGUUGAAUGCUUUCAGAUAUUUUGUCAAUUUCUUUCUGCGUUGUCUCUUCUUUUUUUAUUCGUCCCGCAUUUUCAAAUGAUUCUUCAUCAAUUCCAUGAGUUACAAGCCAAUUGCGAGUGUCUUCCGCUUUUUCGAGUUGUAAUUUAAUAUCUCGCUGUUUCUUUUUUUUAAUUUGCUUCCAUAUUCAUCACUUCCUCAAAAUCGUUCAAAAAUUUUUUCUCUGUUUGCUUCAUGCUUAGCGAUGAGGCUUUAAUGACUUGAUUUGCCAGCUGUUCAAAUAAAUCAAAAGCAUCGCAGACUUUCUUUGUCAACCUGGCUCCAGCGUCAACCACUUCUUUGAUAUUAUCCAGGCGUCUGUCCAAAAAUGUCUUCAAUUUUACUCUCGUUUGAACUUGUUACGCACCUCACGCAAUCUCUUGCGUAGCCAGAUACUUGACCCUCUGUAAUAACAGAAUGUUCUCCAAAUUUUUAUGAGCUUUCGCAAAGUUUUCGUUGGAUUCUUUGGCGAUUUGCCACAAAAUUGUGCGGAAACUCUCUGGAGCUGAAUAAAUUG